rnacentral:rRNA from 1 species
AGUGAACGCUGGCGGCGUGCCUAAUACAUGCAAGUCGAACGAAGUGGCGCACGGGUGAGUAAUAUAUAGUUAAUCUGCCCUACACAGAGGAACAACAGUUGGAAACGACUGCUAAUACCUCACAGUGUAGGAUGAGACUAUAUCGUAUCAGCUAGUUGGUAAGGUAAUGGCUUACCAAGGCGAUGACGCGUAACUGGGCUGAGAGGAUGGGCAGUCACAUCUGAAGUGAGACACGGUCCAAAAUUCUACGGGAGGGAGCAGAAAGUAAUAUUGCGCAAGGGGGGAGACCCAGGCGGGGCAUCGCGGCGUGGAGGAUGACACUUGUCGGAGAGUAGACUCCGCUUAUCAGGUAUGCGGUACCUGAUGAAUAAGCACCGGCUAACUCCGUGCCAGCAGCCGCGGUAAUUC